rnacentral:lncRNA from 1 species
GAAAAGAGAUCUCUGUUGCAUUCCUUUGUUAGUCUCCAUCAUGUCAACCCACAGAGUGGUCAUACUGUGCAAUGUUAGAUGAUCUAUCCUCCUCCCUUCAUCCUUCCCUCAUCUCUCCUACCUCCUUCCUCCACAGGUGUUGGUCAGGGGUUCACCAUGUCAAUCAAGAUGCUGAUGACACGGGUCCAGGAAGAGCAGUCCCACCAGAUGUCCCACAGCAUGGCGCUGGCCUCGCAGAUCAAGAAGAAAACCUUCACCUCUAGUGAUGAGGAGGCUUCCUACUCUGAGUUAUAUCCCAUCAUUCCCGGUGAUGUGUUGUCGGUCAAGGAGAUCCUGAACAUUGGCAAAUUCCCACGCCACAGGACAUGGUGUGUGGAGAAGAGUUACGCAGGUGUUAGGGUGUAUGAUAUAUACAGUAACACAGUAAGCCUUGUACGAACCAGAAUGGCCCAUACGGCAGGAUCCUUGUCCUGUUUCUGUAGCGGGAGGUAGCUCCUUAAACAAGCACACCCCCCUGUAUAGGAUGCUAGUCAAUACAAUAGGUACAAUUCAUGACAACUAAAUUAUGAUUCUGAAAGGCAUUUAUGCACCAGCUACUGCCAGUUGAAACAAGAGCACCCUGAAGUAAGAUCAAUUCAUGUUAUUUAGAAACAAUGUGUCAAAUUUGUCGCAAAGUCAGAGUUGAGGCAAAGUUCAAACUGAACCGUCUCAAUCUGCAACACCUCAGCGAGCACAAAGAAAAGACAUCUCUGCUGCAUCUUCUCCUGACUAAUUCAUCCCUGCCUGGUAGUGUUUCUAGGCUUAUCUUGUGUAGAGCACAUCCAGAGUGAGGGGUGGGGUAGUCUAGCGGUCUAGGUCACUGCCUUCAGAAUACAUGUUCCGUUGCUCACAUGGGCUUGAAUCUGACCCACUGCACACUCUUUCAUUCUACUUUUCCUGUUGCAAUCACUUCUAUAUUUAAUCCCAGCCUCCGUCCCCGCAGGAGGCCUCGUUUGGUAGGCUGUCAUUGUAAAUAAGAAUAUGUUCUUAACUGACUUGCCUAGUUAAAUAAAAGUUCAAUUAAAAAAAUAUAUUCAAUCAAAUAGAGAAUAGACUCAAAGCAUGACUCUGCAGUCAGCAUAGUCUCUGACUCUCUGUGGACAACUAUCUGUAUGAUACAGCCUCUAAGUUAGCAACGUCAGCUAUAAAGAUCAAUGGGACGCCAUGAAACGCCAAAGCCAAAGCAAUCUUUGCAUCCUCCCACUCCACCAUCCAUGAAAAGAUAAGGUCAAGUUCCACUGGCGCCGGGCUUUAGUUCAAGGGCCGUCCUUUUGAAGCAUCAGAGGUUGACGAUAAACGAAGAUUCCAUUCAUGUCCAUUUCACUCUUCUUCUUCUCUGUCAUUUAAAACUCUUGCUCUAUGACCUCAUAUACUGG